rnacentral:rRNA from 1 species
UACGGGGGGUGCGAGCGUUGUCCGGAAUCACUGGGCGUAAAGCGCGCGCAGGCGGCCUCUUAAGUCUGAUGUGAAAGCCCCCCGGCUCAACCGGGGGGAGGGCCUUGGAAAACUGGGGAGGCUUGAGUAUAGGAGAGAAGAGUGGAAUUCCACGUGUAGCGGUGAAAUGCGUAGAGAUGUGGAGGAACACCAGUGGCGAAGGCGACUCUUUGGCCUAUAACUGACGCUGAGGCGCGAAAGCGUGGGGGAGCAAAACAGG